UACGUAGGGCGCAAGCGUUAUCCGGAAUUAUUGGGCGUAAAGAGCUCGUAGGCGGUUUGUCGCGUCUGCCGUGAAAGUCCGGGGCUCAACUCCGGAUCUGCGGUGGGUACGGGCAGACUAGAGUGAUGUAGGGGGAGACUGGAAUUCCUGGUGUAGCGGUGAAAUGCGCAGAUAUCAGGAGGAACACCGAUGGCGAAGGCAGGGUCUCUGGGCAUUAACUGACGCUGAGGAGCGAAAGCAUGGGGAGCAACAGG
rnacentral:rRNA from 1 species